rnacentral:rRNA from 1 species
CCUACGGGAGGCAGCAGUGGGGAAUAUUGCACAAUGGGGGAAACCCUGAUGCAGCGACGCCGCGUGAGUGAAGAAGUAUUUUGGUAUGUAAAGCUCUAUCAGCAGGGAAGAAAAUGACGGUACCUGAUUAAGAAGCCCCGGCUAACUACGUGCCAGCAGCCGCGGUCAUACGUAGGGGGCAAGCGUUAUCCGGAUUUACUGGGUGUAAAGGGAGCGUAGACGGCAGCGCAAGUCUGAAGUGAAAUGCCGGGGCUUAACCCCGGAACUGCUUUGGAAACUGUGCAGCUAGAGUGCAGGAGAGGUAAGUGGAAUUCCUAGUGUAGCGGUGAAAUGCGUAGAUAUUAGGAGGAACACCAGUGGCGAAGGCGGCUUACUGGACUGUAACUGACGUUGAGGCUCGAAAGCGUGGGGAGCAAACAGGAUUAGAUACCCUGGUAGUC